AUGAUUUCAGGACCUGGAAUCAUACCAAUCAAUGGGUGGUGGUUUAUUGCUCGUUCAACUGACGGUGGUCAUUUGACGCUCAUUCGCACGUACCAAAUUGACCAAACCAUUUCAUCAAACCACAUGCAGUACAAUGCCGGGGCGUUCGUGACUGUGAUGUCUAUGGUUGCUUCAUGUUCGAGAAAGAUCCCGGCUCCAUUGGGCCGGGUGUAUUCAACUGGAGGCAGGUUUACAGCCUCGGCAACCACUCCAUGUUCCUCGGGCUCAAUUAUCGGAUCAUCCAACCAAUCAUCAAUCAUAUCACCGGCGAUGAUUACCUCCAAGAAGGAUUGGCCGGUGCUGCCGGCUGGCGUCAAGUUCAAUCCCACGGAUCAGGAGCUGAUCGAGCACCUUGAGGCCAAAGUGAGUGUUGAUAGCGUGAGAUCUCACCCUCUCAUUGAUUUGUUCAUACCAACCAUCGACAGCGAGCACGGCAUAUGCUACACCCAUCCCGAGAAACUUCCAGGUAUCACACUGAGUGGCCUAAGCAAGCAUUUCUUCCAGUGCAACUCCAAGGCAUUCAAAAGGGGCACGUGGACGCGUCACAAGAUGCAGUCGGAGUGCGGCAUGCACGCGAUGUGGCACAAGACCGGCAAUACCUUGCCGAUGAUGGUCAACGGUCGGCAGACGGGCAGCAAAAAGUACCACCUCGGGGACUGGGAGCAAGAGAAGGAGCGGGAGCUGGUCCUCUGCAAGAUUUUCUACCAACGAACACUAGGUUCUCCAAAAUUUUUACAUCUUCGAAGUACGCAGGGGAUCCAUCCGGUUUCAUGGGCUGAUAGUUGGACGCAGCAUGUCGGAACUGGGUUGUGGCAUGCCAAGCCUAGCUGCAAAUUGUUAAAAGAGAGGAGCGAUGGAUUUGGGCCUUCCAGAACAGUUAAGUGUCGCGACCUCGAUCCUGAAGCGCCUCCCAUGGACUAA
rnacentral:rRNA from 1 species